UGUCAGGAUGGCCGAGCGGUCUAAGCGCUGCGUUCAGGUCGCAGUCCCUUGUGUGGGCGUGGGGUUUGAAUCCACUUCGACAA